rnacentral:rRNA from 1 species
UACGUAGGUGGCAAGCGUUGUCCGGAUUUACUGGGCGUAAAGAGCGCGCAGGCGGUCGUUCAAGUCGCGUGUGAAAGCCCCCGGCUCAACUGGGGAGGGUCACGCGAUACUGAUCGACUCGAAGGCAGGAGAGGGUAGUGGAAUUCCCGGUGUAGUGGUGAAAUGCGUAGAGAUCCGGAGGAACACCAGUGGCGAAGGCGACACGCUGGGCCAUACCUGACGCUAAAGCGCGACAGCAUGGGGAGCAAACGGG